rnacentral:rRNA from 1 species
CGCCUUGCCAGCCCGCUCAGAACUUAAAGGAAUUGACGGGGCCGCACAAGCGGUGGAGCAUGUGGUUUAAUUCGAUGAUACGCGAGGAACCUUACCUGGGCUCAAAUGUAUGUUGACGUAUUCUGAAAGGGAUACUUCUUCGGACAAUAUACAAGGUGCUGCAUGGUUGUCGUCAGCUCGUGCCGUGAGGUGUCGGGUUAAGUCCCAUAACGAGCGCAACCCCUAUCAUUAGUUGCCAUCAGGUCAAGCUGGGGACUCUAAUGAAACUGCCUACGCAAGUAGUGAGGAAGGUGGGGAUGACGUCAAAUCAGCACGGCCCUUACGUCCAGGGCUACACACGUGCUACAAUGGCCGGUACAAAGGGCAGCUACCUGGUGACAGGAUGCAAAUCUCCAAAGUCGGUCUCAGUUCGGAUCGGAGUCUGCAACCCGACUCCGUGAAGUUGGAUUCGCUAGUAAUCGCGCAUCAGCCAUGGCGCGGUGAAUACGUUCCCGGGCCUU